AUACCAGCUGGCUGCAACUGUUUAUUAAAAACACAGCACUGUGCAAACACGAAAGUGGACGUAUACGGUGUGACGCCUGCCCGGUGCCGGAAGGUUAAUUGAUGGGGUCAGCGCAAGCGAAGCUCCUGAUCGAAGCCCCGGUAAACGGCGGCCGUAACUAUAACGGUCCUAAGGUAGCGAAAUUCCUUGUCGGGUAAGUUCCGACCUGCACGAAUGGCGUAAUGAUGGCCAGGCUGUCUCCACCCGAGACUCAGUGAAAUUGAACUCGCUGUGAAGAUGCAGUGUACCCGCGGCAAGACGGAAAGACCCCGUGAACCUUUACUAUAGCUUGACACUGAACAUUGAGCCUUGAUGUGUAGGAUAGGUGGGAGGCUUUGAAGUGUGGACGCCAGUCUGCAUGGAGCCGACCUUGAAAUACCACCCUUUAAUGUUUGAUGUUCUAACGUGGACCCGUUACCCGGGUUGCGGACAGUGUCUGGUGGGUAGUUUGACUGGGGCGGUCUCCUCCUAAAGAGUAACGGAGGAGCACGAAGGUUGGCUAAUCCUGGUCGGACAUCAGGAGGUUAGUGCAAUGGCAUAAGCCAGCUUGACUGCGAGCGUGACGGCGCGAGCAGGUGCGAAAGCAGGUCAUAGUGAUCCGGUGGUUCUGAAUGGAAGGGCCAUCGCUCAACGGAUAAAAGGUACUCCGGGGAUAACAGGCUGAUACCGCCCAAGAGUUCAUAUCGACGGCGGUGUUUGGCACCUCGAUGUCGGCUCAUCACAUCCUGGGGCUGAAGUAGGUCCCAAGGGUAUGGCUGUUCGCCAUUUAAAGUGGUACGCGAGCUGGGUUUAGAACGUCGUGAGACAGUUCGGUCCCUAUCUGCCGUGGGCGCUGGAGAACUGAGGGGGGCUGCUCCUAGUACGAGAGGACCGGAGUGGACGCAUCACUGGUGUUCGGGUUGUCAUGCCAAUGGCACUGCCCGGUAGCUAAAUGCGGAAGAGAUAAGUGCUGAAAGCAUCUAAGCACGAAACUUGCCCCGAGAUGAGUUCUCCCUGAGACUUUAGGUCUCCUGAAGGAACGUUGAAGACGACGACGUUGAUAGGCCGGGUGUGUAAGCGCAGCGAUGCGUUGAGCUAACCGGUACUAAUGAACCGUGAGGCUUAACCUUACAACGCCG
rnacentral:rRNA from 1 species